rnacentral:lncRNA from 12 species
CUGGGCCCCGGAGGCAAGAUGAGGACACACUGACCCGUCCUCACCUCCCUCCCAGGCUGGAGCGGACACAUGACCUGCACUCCAGAAAAGCUAACCGUGAGGACAAGGCCCUGGGUGUGAGGUCCACUAACUGUAUUCCUGGAGGGGUUAAGAGCAGAGUGAGAAGUCACCGGGUGAAGCAGACGUGGAAGCUUCUAGAAGACGCUCUAUUGGAAAGGCCUGAGGGCAGAAGCCAGUGGGGCUGCGGCCUGGAGUCCUCACCUUGCUUCUUACGUGCCAAAUCCUCGCUUAAUUAUGAAAACCAAACCAAACACCUUUCUCCCUUACCCGGAAGAGUGCAUUUUUGCCUGCACCGGAUCAUCGGAAAACGUGAGCGACCCCUCCGCCUCCUGAACUGAACUGGGGCCUCAUUUUGCAGAGCAAGCAGGCCCACUGCAUCUCCAGCUUAGAUGCUGAAGGGUUCCCCUCUCACAAAAGCACUUGUCUCUCAUUAAAUGCCGAGCGUUUGUUACGGCAUUACCUGCAGACAGGUCUCCACUGCCCUAAUAGGCAUGAUCUUUAGGAAAGAUCCUUUGGCUUCUGUAUAAGACCAAAGACGUGAUUAAUAUUGGCCCCAUUUAGCUGUGGGUCUAAAUGAGGCUACAGUGAACUCUUCUUUGCAUGAUCACAAUUUAUAAUUUCCUAAAAUUUAUGGCCCUUUCUCCUGUGUUGUUAACAUGUCUGGUUGUUGCAAUUCACUCGGUCUGUCCUGUUUUUUUGUUUGUUUGUUUGUUUAAAUCUGGUUCUAAGAAACAAUCAGUAAAUAUCCCAAUCAUAUUUGCUAUAAAAUCAGCAGUGAUAAAUAGACAAUAAUAUUUCACUGGAAGGCACAAGGAUGUUUAUUUAGCAUCUUUAUAGAUGCAAAGCUCCCCCUGCAGAAAUCCUACGAGAGAAACCUGUGCUCUGAACACCUUUAGACAUGCUGCCUCCUUUAAGAAGACGGGAAAGUUGCUCCCGGGCCCAGAUGCUGUUCUGGUGUCAAGGACGGAACAAAAGAAUAGUCAAAGCAGAGAGUAGGGCCAAGAAUCCAGGAGUGAAAUCUUUAACCAGGAUGGAAAGGUUGGCGGGUCUGACCUUGUGCCCGCAGAGCAGUGCCAGGAUCUGAGAGGGAGGGCCUGACACUAGGGGCUCCUUAGGGAUCUUUAGUAAGUGUCACCCCAAGUCCAGACUUUUCUUUAAGCUUUAGAAUUGUUGCUGCAGAUGCUUUUUUUUUUUUUAAAAAAGAUUUAUUUAUUUAUUUAUUUUUGAUGGACAGAGAGAGAGAGAGAGAGGCAGAGACACAGGCAGAGGGAGAAGCAGGCUCCAUGCAGGGAGCCCGAUGUGGGACUCGAUCCCGGGACUCCAGGAUCACACCCUGGG